rnacentral:antisense_RNA from 1 species
GGUGGGAGCUGGCUUGCCUGCGAUGCAGGCACCUCGGUCUAUCAACCAAACCGGGUCGAUCCCUUCGCAGGCAAGCCAGCUCCCACC